GACAGAGGGGGCAAGCGUUGCUCGGAAUUACUGGGCGUAAAGGGCGCGUAGGCGGGAUGGCAAGUCGGUCGUGAAAUCCCUCGGCUCAACCGAGGAACGUCGAUCGAUACUGCUGUUCUUGAGGAUUGCAGAGGAGACUGGAAUUCCCGGUGUAGCGGUGAAAUGCGCAGAUAUCAGGAGGAACACCAAUGGCGAAGGCAGCACUCUGGGACGUGACUGACGCUGAGACGCGAAAGCGUGGGGAGCAAACAGG
rnacentral:rRNA from 1 species